rnacentral:rRNA from 1 species
UACGGAGGGUGGCGAGCGUUAAUCGGAAUUACUGGGCGUAAAGCGCGCGUAGGCGGUUUAUUAAGUCAGAUGUGAAAGCCCCGGGCUCAACCUGGGAAUUGCAUUUGAGACUGGUAGGCUAGAGUGUGGUAGAGGUGAGUGGAAUUUCAGGUGUAGCGGUGAAAUGCGUAGAGAUCUGAAGGAACAUCAGUGGCGAAGGCGACUCACUGGGCCAUUACUGACGCUGAGGUGCGAAAGCGUGGGUAGCAAACAGGAUUAGA